ACAACUGAAGCAUUUUGAGGAUAAAUAGAAAACUUAGAAAAAACAUCAGUAUGUUUUGUUUACCACUUUAAUUUGUUUGUUGUUCAAUGUGCAGGCUUUUUUCUUUUUAAAUCUUUGCAGUAAGAACAGAAUUUGUUCUGCUUCUCUAAAGAGGGAUUUUUAUUGCAAUUUUCCCCCUGUAGCACUUGUUUAUGUGGCAGAGAAAACAACGGCAAAUGAGCAAGAAAGAGAAAUUUCUUUUCUUUAGAGAUAGAUUGGAAUAGCGAAGGCAUUUUCUACCUGAAGUGUAUAUUUUCUAGGAUGUUUACUAACAGCAAUAGCUGUUCUGCAGAACUCUCCAGAGAUCUGGGCAUCCAUAGGACUGGCAGCAGUAAUAUUUUUUCAUGACAUCGUGGCAUCUACGAGGAGAACAGAAAAAACAGAGACAUGAAUGAUAGGGAAGCAGUUGGGAUCUCUAGGAGAUGACAUUGCUGCUGAAGAUGUGCUCCCAGGUGGUGAUCAGGCAAUGUGAGCAUGAAAGAUCCUCCAGGGUUUCUCUCUGAAGCCUGGCCUCUAAUUGAGAUAUAUUGGCAUAGGGAAGUUGUGUAAAUAGGGCCUAUAAAUCUUCAGAGGAGUCUGGAAUAAGAGUUUUCCUUAGGAUUUAUCUCAGGUUGUUUUCUUUGACUGUCAGCAGUGUUAAAUGUAUUUGGCCCUGUACUGAGCUCUGAUGGGCACAAAAUGCAUGGAUAGGACUGUCAAAAAAGUGAAAAUAGAGAGUGGUUAAAAAAGUAACAUGUGUUUAUUAUUACUAAACUCAUUACUUACUGCUUCUCAUUUUCAUGGAUUUUCAAUUCCAGGAUAAUUGAAAGGUACAACUUACAAACUUCUCCAAUCAGAGGCCCAGCAAGUAUUUUUGUCACCAAAAUGUUUCUUCAGCAUAAUAGAAGAGCAAUGACUGUUGCUGAAGAGUGCCAUACACAUGGCAGAAUACAAGGAUAAACUUCCUAUGGAUUCAGACCAUCAUUAGCAUUGCUGAGAAACCGCUCUCCUCUGGCAGUACAGACUCAUUCCAAGCAGGAGUGACCAAUGCAGCACCCAGGCAAAGGAGAAAAUACAACAUGAAAGUCAAAGUAAGAGGCAAAAUGAAGUGAAAUGGCACUGCUGCUGUCCUGAGCUACAAAGAUGGACAGAGAAUUUGCUCUAGCAUCAUUCAAGGGAGUGCUGGCUCAUGAUUGUAGCUGUAGAGAAGUUUAUAUUGGUGGCAUUCUCAGCAGAUCACAUGGUUGCUGAGGAAAAGCAUGGAAAGGGGAGUGCUCACCUGGGCCUUUUGGUAGGCUUAUCCUCCACCUGACUAUUACUCUCUUUAAUUAGCUCAACCUCCUUUCUAUGGAGGGCAGAGGAUCAGGGAUGUGGCAUAUAUUGCAAGUAAUUUAGCCUUGCAGUUCUGGCCUGGGCUCGAGAACAUGAGAGAUGUUUUUCUGGAUCCCCUGGGAAACAGCCUGCUCUUGAAAAGGUGGAUGUUGGAAGAUGAGGGCCUGCAAAAUUAAGGAGAAAAAAAAAGCUGGAACAGACCAAUGAGAAGGUAAGAACUGAAUACUAAGAGUCUGCAUGGUAAAUGAAAGGAGUAGAUGGUAAAUGCUUCUAUACAUGAAUACCAAAUUUUUUCCAGCAAAAGAAGGAACAACUUAGCAUGCGGAUAGUAGCUGGUAUCUGCCACCUCUGAGAAGCAUUAUUUUCCUCUCCUCUUCUGUCUGCGAAGCAGCCAGUGAAGAUACAUAAAAGCUGAGACUACUUGAAGUCCAAGGAAUACCUGUCUCUUGUGAGUAUCUAAGUAAAAGUAUUUAAACAAAAACAGGCGAGCCCUACUUAUAGAUGCUGUGUAACUCACAACUCUGCUGAUCCUUGCCAGACAGGAAUAAAGGGAGGACUUUCAUUUUAUGUUUUUCUUUCAGUUUAUUAACUUUAAGUGUGCAAGUGAUGAUAGUCAGGAAGAAAAGCGAAGUAGGUAUUUAGGAGUUUUAAAA